UGGGGAAUCUUGCACAAUGGGCGCAAGCCUGAUGCAGCAACGCCGCGUGCGGGAAGACGGCCCUAGGGUUGUAAACCGCUUUCAGGAGGGAAGAAAAUGACGGUACCUCCAGAAGAAGGUGCGGCCAACUACGUGCCAGCAGCCGCGUGACACGUAGGCACCAAGCGUUAUCCGGAUUUAUUGGGCGUAAAGAGCUCGUAGGCGGUUCGGUAAGUCGGGUGUGAAAAUCCAAGGCUCAACCUUGGGACGCCACCCGAUACUGCUGUGACUCGAGUGCAGUAGGGGAGCAGGGAAUUCCUGGUGUAGCGGUGAAAUGCGCAGAUAUCAGGAGGAACACCAGUGGCGAAGGCGCCGCUCUGGGCCGUAACUGACGCUGAGGAGCGAAAAGCAUGGGUAGCAAAACAGGAUUAGAUACCCUGGUAGUCCAUGCCGUAAACGUUGGGCACUAGGUGUGGGUCUCAACCAACGAGAUCCGCGCCGUCGCUAACGCAUUAAGUGCCCCGCCUGGGGAGUACGGUCGCAAGACUAAAACUCAAAUGAAUUGA
rnacentral:rRNA from 1 species